UUGGAGGGCAAGUCUGGUGCCAGCAGCCGCGGUAAUUCCAGCUCCAAUAGCGUAUAUUAAAGUUGUUGCAGUUAAAAAGCUCGUAGUUGAAUUUCGGGGUCAGUAGGCUGGUCGUGCCACGGGUAUGUACUGGUCUCACUGAUUCCUCCUUCCUGAUGAACCGUAAUGCCAUUAAUUUGGUGUUGCGGGGAAACUGGACUGUUACUUUGAAAAAAUUAGAGUGUUUAAAGCAGGCUAACGCUUGAAUACAUUAGCAUGGAAUAAUGAAAUAGGACGUUCGAUCCUAUUUUGUUGGUUUCUAGGAUUGACGUAAUGAUUAAUAGGGAUAGUUGGGGGCAUUAGUAUUCAAUUGUCAGAGGUGAAAUUCUUGGAUUUAUUGAAGACUAACUACUGCGAAAGCAUUUGCCAAGGAUGUUUUCAUUAAUCAAGAACGAAAGUUAGGGGAUCGAAGACGAUCAGAUACCGUCGUAGUCUUAACCAUAAACUAUGCCGACUAGGGAUCGGAUGAUGUUAAUUUUUCUUGACUCGUUCGGCGCCUUACGGGAAA
rnacentral:rRNA from 1 species